GUGGGGAAUCUUCCGCAAUGGACGAAAGUCUGACGGAGCAACGCCGCGUGAGUGAAGAAGGUUUUCGGAUCGUAAAGCUCUUUCGUUAGGGACGAACGUGCUCUUUGUGAAUAAUGAGGAGUAAUGACGGUACCUAAAUAAGAAGCCACGGCUAACUACGUGCCAGCAGCCGCGGUAAUACGUAGGUGGCAAGCGUUGUCCGGAAUUCUUGGGCGUAAAGCGCGCGCAGGCGGGAUAUCAAGUCUGUCUUAAAAGUGCGAGGCUCAACCUCGUGAGGGGACAGAAACUGGUAUUCUUGAGUGUCGGAGAGGAAAGUGGAAUUCCAAGUGUAGCGGUGAAAUGCGUAGAGAUUUGGAAGAACACCAGUGGCGAAGGCGACUUUCUGGACGAUGUCUGACGCUGAGGCGCGAAAGCUAGGGGAGCGAACGGGAUUAGAAACCCGUGUAGUCC
rnacentral:rRNA from 1 species